UCUCUUCACUCCUCGAACACUAAAACGCUCUACAGAUGUGCUCCCUUCUCUCCGAUCAGUUCACCGGAGAAGAAGGCGGCGGACGGCCGUCCGUGACGGCGCCGCCCCUACUUUCUUAUGAUCCACCCACACGAAACCCUAUCCUACAUAAAAACCCACUAUGAGUUCGAAUUCGAACUCUUAUUUCCCAACAACAACCCCAAUCGUCCAGAUCGGGGGUUUCGAUCGAAACCCUAACACCACAAUUAAACCAAUGGCAACAAGGAUUUCAAGCGAACAAGAAAAUAGAUUUGGCGUACAUUAACGAGACGGACACGAAGGCCAUGUGAAAAGGAGAAAAGGAGAGAAAAGGAAAUACCAAAUCGGAGCUAGUUUUACGGCCACGAUUACAACGAACCCAGGUCACGACGACAUGGGUACCCAAGUGGGAAAAUGGCUUAAUGUAGGGGUAUUGAGAAGGGAGUUUUGAUUAGGUGUAAACGAAAAAAUUAUGAAUAUUAGGGACAUGUUUUAUGUUGUAGUGAAUAAAACACCUCAGUUGUACCAUAACAUCAUUUGUGCGUCAAAUGAUAACUUCAAUGUAAAUUUAUUUAGUUUUUCUAAACAAUGCUUAAUGUAACCUUGAAAGGAAAAUUUUAAGACCAAUGUUUCUUUCCUUAAA